CAAACAUCUGACACCAGAGAACAUACUCCUCACAGAAUUUGGUUUAGUGUGCCUGGACAGAUUUGGAAGAAUCCAUGAAAAUUCAGAAAACACAGCAGCAAAUCUGUUGGAAACAAAAUAUCUGCCACCGGAAGCCUUUGUGAAUGGGACCUAUGAUGCUAAAAGUGACAUUUGGUCAGUUGGUUGCAUACUCAUACAAGCUCUGUACUCGACAACUGGCAUUCUCAGCAAAGACUACAAUCGAGAUCAAGGCGAAGAUAAUGAAUGGUCCUCACCCAUCUCUCACAGAGCCAUUUUCACCAGAGCUUUGUGAACUAUUGAGUGAUACGUUAAAUAAAGACCCUCAACCAAGACCAACAGCCAGCGAGAUCCUGGGGCGUCCUUUCAUUCAAAACUGUGUCUCAAAAAAGGUAUGACACUCGUACAAUGUUAAACUCAUCAAAUCAAUUAUUUUAUAAAGUGAUUAGUGGUAAAGAAAAUAAUAAAAAGCUUUUUUUCUUUUACCAUAUAGUUGGAUGUUACAGGAAAGGUACUGUAUUAAGCUUUAAAUUAAUUUUUACAAAAUUCUGAUCUGAAUUCAGAAUAAGAAAAGAUUGUGAUUCUAAUUUUGCGCAUCCAUAUUUCCUGUAUUAUUAC